rnacentral:rRNA from 1 species
UUGACCCCGCCGGACUUGAUCGCUAUUAGAUUGAUACUAAGCCAUGUUAGUCAUUGUAGUAAUACAAGGCAGAUGGUUCAGUAACACGUAGUCAACCUAAUUUUACGGACGGGGAUAACCUCGGGAAACUGAGAAUAAUACCCGAUAGGUCAUGAUGCCUGGAAUGGUUUAUGACUCAAAUGAAUGUCGCCGUAGGAUGGGACUGCGACGCUAUCAGCUUGUUGGUGAGGUAAUGGCCCACCAAGGCUAUAACAUGCUACGGGCUCUGAGAGGAGUAGCCCGGAGAUGGGUACUGAGACAAGGACCCAGGCCUCUAUGGGGCGCAGCAGGCGAGAAAACUUUGCAAUGCGCGAAAGCUCGACAAGGUUAAUCUGAGUGGUUCCUGCUAAAGGAACCUUUUGUUAGUCGUAGAACCACUGAUGCAACAAGGGGUGGCGCAAGUGU